rnacentral:rRNA from 1 species
AGCGAACGCUGGCGGCAGGCCUAACACAUGCAAGUCGAACGAACCCUUCGGGGUUAGUGGCGGACGGGUGAGUAACACGUGGGAACGUGCCUUUAGGUUCGGAAUAACUCAGGGAAACUUGUGCUAAUACCGAAUGUGCCCUUCGGGGGAAAGAUUUAUCGCCUUUAGAGCGGCCCGCGUCUGAUUAGCUAGUUGGUGAGGUAAUGGCUCACCAAGGCUACGAUCAGUCGCUGGUCUGAGAGGAUGACCAGCCACAUUGGGACUGAGACACGGCCCAAACUCCUACGGGAGGCAGCAGUGGGGAAUCUUGCGCAAUGGGCGAAAGCCUGACGCAGCCAUGCCGCGUGGAUGAUGAAGGUCUUAGGAUUGUAAAAUCCUUUCACCAGUGAAGAUAAUGACUGUAGCCGGAGAAGAAGCCCCGGCUAACUUCGUGCCAGCCGCCGCUGUAA